CCUUUUAAAAAUAACAUCUAAAAGUUGAUGAUAGCGUUGUACAAUUUAAAACUGACAUCUUCUUUCUCUCAAACAGGAUGAAAUCGAAUUCAAUGAGAGGCCAUCCACUUCUAGCUCUACUUCACAGCUUACCUCUCUUCCAGUCAAAGAGCUCUAUAAAAUCUAUCUGGGAAAACAAAUAAACAAAGCAGACUUGGAAAUGGACCACAUUAGGCAAAAGAUGCAAAAGGAUGCUUUGGAGAUCCAAAUUUUGGAACAUAAGUUAAAGGAAAUAAAGAAAUCCUCAUAAAAAGUAGAUUGUCUUUAUUAGAACACGGGCUGUGGUGGGACAAGUUAUUUUGUUGAACAGUGU